GAACGAAAUCCAACACCACAGCUGGAAAGAGCGUCUUAGAAUGAGUAAAACUGCAAAUAUUGGUUGCUAUAUGUUGUAAAAUGAAUAAAAUAUAGCCCUGUGAAGUUCGCAAAUUUUGUAUAUAUUUGUAUAAAUAACCGCGUAAUGCAAAUAUAUACAAAAUUUGCGAACUUCACAGGGCUAUAUUUUCCUCAUUUUACAACAAUUCGCAACCAAACUUUGAAAUUUUACUCAUUUUAAGAUGCUCUUUCCAGCUAUGGUAAUGGAUUUCGUUC